CCUACGGGAGGCAGCAGUGAGGAAUAUUGGUCAAUGGUCGAGAGACUGAACCAGCCAAGCCGCGUGAAGGAUGAAUGUCCAGAGGGUUGUAAACCUCUUUUAUAAGGGAACAAAACAGGGGACGUAUACCCGCUUGUAUGUACCAUAUGAAUAAGCAUCGGCUAACUCCGUGCCAGCAGCCGCGGUAAUACGGAGGAUCCGAGCGUUAUCCGGAUUUAUUGGGUUUAAAGGGUGCGUAGGCGGAGUGUUAAGUCAGUUGUGAAAGUUUGCGGCUCAACCGUAAACUUGCAGUUGAAACUGGCAGUCUUGAGUAGAGUAGAGGUAGGCGGAAUGCGCGGUGUAGCGGUGAAAUGCUUAGAUAUCACGAAGAACUCCGAUUGCGAAGGCAGCUCACUGGACUGCAACUGACGCUGAUGCACGAAAGUGUGGGUAUCAAACAGGAUUAGAUACCCCGGUAGUC
rnacentral:rRNA from 1 species